rnacentral:misc_RNA from 1 species
ACCUAUUAUCAAAGGCUUGGACUAAACUAGUAAUCUGAGCCAAAAUCCACAUGUCAACCAUAAAAAAACCCAUAAGCCUGCAGGCAUGUCCAUUCCAUAAUAGGUUUCAUACAUUAUUAUUUAAGUUAAACAGGGCUUUCAGGCACAACCAGUUAAUUCCCAAUGGAAAAUCAACAAGUCCUUGAGACAUCAUUAACAAAGUACCAGGAGGCUCUGGAAGAGGGCUAG